AAUGUUUCUUUAAAGUAAUAAUUUUUAUUCCUUUGUUUGAAUCGUCCUUUGUUCAUUAUAAGACACGCCAUUGCGAUCAAAAGCACUGUUAAUACCAAGAAGCAUUUGAAAUUCAAAUUAAUCAAAGUUUAUCUCCAUAGAAGUUAUAUCAAGGUUAAUAACAGAUAUGUGACGGAUCCAGAUCCAUGGAUUUUUGAUUACUCCCUUACUUAGGGCCAUCAGCAUUUAAAUUUCUGUAAUGAAAUAAAGAGUGAAACAUCCAAAAUACGGCGUGUUACA